rnacentral:rRNA from 1 species
AUGGAGACCGGUGUCGGUGUAAAACCAACACUCGUUCGUAUCGACAAUGCCGAUGUGGUUGGCGCCUCGCCUCUGGACGCCGUGUUUACGGUAGUCCUCCAAGACAAGGGUACCGCCUCACGGGGCCAUCGGGAGUUAGUGUUGGUGAAGUCACGCCGCCUCCUCGCCAUCACGCCUCAUCUUCUUGGGCUCUGGGUCAUGGAGAGCAUCAUGUGGCACCAUCUUCUCCUCCAGGUCACGGACAGCACCGCCUCCCUGCUCCGUGUUGCGGGCAACACCAAGGGUGUGUGUUAUCUUCUUGGCUCCGUGUCGCGGGCUCCAUCUUGA